rnacentral:rRNA from 1 species
AAUCAACGCUGGCGGCGUGCCUCAGACAUGCAAGUCGAACGAUUAAGACUUCCUUCGGGAAGUGUAUAAAGUGGCGCACGGGUGAGUAACACGUAAGUAAUCUACCUUCGAGUGGGGAAUAACGUCCGGAAACGGACGCUAAUACCGCAUAAUGCAGCGGCAUCGUAAGAUGACAGUUGUUAAAGAUUUAUCGCUUGAAGAGGAGCUUGCGGCAGAUUAGCUAGUUGGUAAGGUAAUGGCUUACCAAGGCUACGAUCUGUAACCGGUCUUAGAGGACGGUCGGUCACACUGACACUGAAUAACGGGUCAGACUCCUACGGGAGGCAGCAGUCGGGAAUUUUGGGCAAUGGGCGAAAGCCUGACCCAGCAACGCCGCGUGAAGGAUGAAGUAUUUCGGUAUGUAAACUUCGAAAGAAUGGGAAGAAUAAAUGACGGUACCAUUUAUAAGGUCCGGCUAACUACGUGCCAGCAGCCGCAGUAACAC